UUUGUUUAUUUUUCGUUUAUAAUCUUUAUUUUGUAGAAAUUGAAAAAUAAUUUAAUAAUAUAUUUUAAAAUUUAGUGUUCCUAUAAUUAAUGAAGAUGUUUAUGUUCAAGAUUUCAGUAAGAGUUAUAUACAAGGAAAGAGUGCUCCUGUAAACAUCAAUGUUCAGCAAAGUUCAACCAAUAGUUCUUUAAAGUCAGAAAUGAGUUUUACUGAAAAAUCUGAAAUUGAUAUUGAAAUACUUCU